rnacentral:rRNA from 1 species
ACUCCUACGGGAGGCAGCAGUAGGGAAUAUUGGGCAAUGGUCGGAAGACUGACCCAGCCAUGCCGCGUGCAGGAAGACGGCCUAUUGGGUUGUAAACUGCUUUUAUCUGGGAAGAAAAGGGCCAUGCGUGGCAAAUUGCCGGUACCAGAUGAAUAAGCACCGGCUAACUCCGUGCCAGCAGCCGCGGUAAUACGGAGGGGUGCAAGCGUUGUCCGGAUUUAUUGGGUUUAAAGGGGUGCGUAGGCGGCUGAUUAAGUCAGCGGUGAAAGACUCCGGCUCAACCGGAGCAGUGCCGUUGAUACUGGUUAGCUUGAGUGCUGCAGGGGUACAUGGAAUUGAUGGUGUAGCGGUGAAAUGCAUAGAUACCAUCAGGAACACCGAUAGCGAAGGCAUUGUACUGGGCAGCAACUGACGCUGAGGCACGAAAGCGUGGGGAUCGAACAGGAUUAGAUA